UCAACCCAUGUUGGUAAACGUAGAGAAGGAGUUUAAUUGGAACAAUAGCCAACUUAAGAGUGCAUGAGAUAGUUGAGGUGGGUAUCUGAAAAUGGAACACGUUAGCCUUGGUCAGUCACGCGUCUACACCUCCUGCCUACAACGCUCACCACCUCACUCACUGACAGCCUUCUCCACCUAUAUCUCUAGACUUUUCCGUCACUUGCAUGCAAACCAUUCUCAGAACCACAGAUUACACCCACUAAUCUCAUCUGCAUCCACCCAAAACCCAAAUCACCUUUCUUACCCAACCUUGCCAAGAAUGGAGAAACCAACCAUGGCAACGGGUUAGAGGCCACUGAAGUCCCCAUCUUCUUCUGUUGCCGAGUGUAGAAGCUUGGGCUUUGGAAUUUAGACUGAGAUCAGUUCACUCCUAAGGUUUGGGAUUGGAAAAGAGUAGAGAAUUGGAGCUGGAGUUGAUCGAAAGCUUUUGUCAGUUAAAAGGUGGUUUGUGCAGUAUAUAAAUCGAAGAAGAAGGAUUUUGGGUGAAGGCUCUUUGACAGGGUCUUGAUCGAAUUGAGGAUUCCAGUGACCGAGGCUUAACCAACCACGGUGAUAGCUCGGAGAUUGUCAAAGCAUGGAUUCCAGGAACUGAGCAGGAGCCAGCUGAGGACCAGGCUUAGACACUUGGGUGUUGGCAUCGUCAAGUUGUGAAUAGCUUCUUUUGGACUUGACUGUUGGUCUGGCAGGUGUUGAUUAGUCUCCCUUCUUUUGGAAUUGUGAAUGUGACUUUGUUUUGUUGUGGGAACCUUGUAAAUUUGUUAUUAUCCGCCUGCCUAUCUUUUGGUGUGUGUUACUUUGCGUGAACUUGAAACCCGAACCUUGGACUCGUGACAUUGUGGAAUGUAAAUAAAGUACUCUUUUGUUGUAAAAU